AUCAUGGCCCAUCCCCAAUGAGCCGCUGGGCACACCUCCCAGACGGGGUCGUGGCCGGGCAGAGGGGCUCCUCACUUCCCAGUAGGGGCGGCCGGGCAGAAGCACCCCUCACCUCCCGGACGGGGCGGCUGGCCGGGCAGAGGGGCUCCUCACUUCCCAGUAGGGGCGGCCGGGCAGAGGCGCCCCUCACCUCCCGGAUGGGGCGGCUGGCCAGGCGGGGGGCUGAUCCCCCCACCUCCCUCCCGGACGGGGCGGCUGGCUGGGCGGGGGGCUGACCCCCCACCUCCCUCCCGGACUGGGCGGCUGGCCGGGCGGGGGGCUGACCCCCCACCUCCCUCCCGGACGGGGCGGCUGGCCGGGCAGAGGGCUCCUCACUUCCCAGUAGGGGCGGCCGGGCAGAGGAGCCCCUCACCUCCCGGACGGGGCGGCUGGCCCGGCGGGGGGCUGACCCCCCCCCACCUCCCUCCCGGACGGGGCGGCUGCCGGGCGGAGACGCUCCUCACUUCCCAGACGGGGCAGCUGCCGGGCGGAGGGGCUCCUCACUUCUCAGACGGGGCGGUUGCCAGGCAGAGGGUUUCCUCACUUCUCAGACGGGGCGGCCGGGCAGAGACGCUCCUCACCUCCCAGACAGGGUUGCGGCCCAGCAGAGGCGCUCCUCACAUCCCAGACAGGGCGGCGGGGCAGAGGCGCUCCCCACAUCUCAGACGAUGGGCGGCGGGGAAGAGGCGCUCCUCGCUUCCUAGAUGGGAUGGCGGCCGGGAAGAGGCGCUCCUCACUUCCUAGAUGGGAUGGCGGCCGGGCAGAGACGCUCCUCACUUUCCAGACUGGGCAGCCAGGCAGAGAGGCUCCUCAUAUCCCAGACGAUGGGGGGCCAGGCAGAGACGCUCCUCACUUCCCACAUGGGGUGGCGGCUGGGCAGAGGCUGCAAUCUUGGCACUUUGGGGGGCCAAGGCGGGCAGCUGGGAGGUGGAGGUUGUAGCGAGCCGAGAUCACGCCGCUGCACUCCAGCCUGGGCACCAUUGAGCACUGAGUGAACGAGACUCCGUCUGCAAUCCCAGCACCUCGGGAGGCCGAGGCUGGCGGAUCACUCGCGGUUAGGAGCUGGAGACCAGCCCGGCCAACACAGCAAAACCCCGUCUCCACCAAAAAAAAAAACGAAAACCAGUCAGGCGUGGCGGCGCGCGCCUGCAAUCACAGGCACUCGGCAGGCUGAGGCAGGAGAAUCAGGCAGGGAGGUUGCAGUGAGCCGAGAUGGCAGCAGUACCGUCCAGCUUUGGCUUGGCAUCAGAGGGAGACCGUGGAAGGAGACCGUGGAGAGAGAGGGAGACGGAGAGGGAGAGGGAGAGGGGGAGGGGGAGGGGGAGGGGGAGGGAGAGGGAGAGGGAGAGGGAGAGGGAGAGGCUGUGUGUCAGAGGUUUUCCUCGGAGUUUCGUUCUUGUUGCCCAGGCUGGAGUGCAAUGGCACAGUCUUGGCUAAUUGCAACCUCUCCCCUUUUUGGAAAUAUUGUACUUCCUGAGCUAACUGCACUUACGAGGUAAUGAUUGGUGUGAGUUUCUAGUCUCUGUUUGUUUGUUUUUUGAGACAGAGUCUCAUUCUGUCACC
rnacentral:lncRNA from 1 species